UAAGGAAUAUUGGACAAUGGUCGCAAGACUGAUCCAGCCAUGCCGCGUGCAGGAAGACGGCCCUAUGGGUUGUAAACUGCUUUUGUACCAGAGAAAACCUAUCUACGUGUAGAUAGCUGAUAGUAUGGUAAGAAUAAGCAUCGGCUAACUUCGUGCCAGCAGCCGCGGUAAGACGAAGGAUGCAAGCGUUAUCCGGAUUCAUUGGGUUUAAAGGGCGCGUAGGCGGGCUUGUAAGUCAGUGGUGAAAUCUCUCAGCUUAACUGAGAAACUGCCAUUGAUACUGCAGGCCUAGAGUAUAGAUGACGUUGGCGGAAUAUGACAUGUAGUGGUGGAAUACUUAGAUAUGUCAUAGAACACCGAUUGCGAAGGCAGCUAACGAAACUAUAACUGACGCUGAGGCACGAAAGUGCGGGGAUCAAAC
rnacentral:rRNA from 1 species